rnacentral:rRNA from 1 species
GACGAACGCUGGCGGCGUGCUUAACACAUGCAAGUCGAACGGUGAACGAGGGAUCUUGCUCCCUCCGGAUCAGUGGCGAACGGGUGAGUAACACGUGUGCAAUCUGCCCGAAAUUCGGGUAAAUCCGUGGAAAACGCGCUCAAAUCCGGAAGACACCCCGGAUGGACAGCCUCUCCUGGGGAAAUGAACUGCGGUUGGGGAUGGGCCCGCGGCCUAUAAGCUUGUUGGUGAGGUAACGGCUCACCAAGGCGACGACGGGUAGCCGGCCUGAGAGGGUGACCGGCCACACUGGGACUGAGACACGGCCCAGACUCCUACGGGAGGCAGCAGUGGGGAAUAUUGCACAAUGGGCGGAAGCCUGAUGCAGCAACGCCGCGUGAGGGACGACGGCCUUCGGGUUGUAAACCUCUUUUAGCAGGGAAGAAGCGAAAGUGACGGUACCUGCAGAAAAAGCACCGGCUAACUACGUG